rnacentral:rRNA from 1 species
UACAGAGGUCCCAAGCGUUGUUCGGAUUCACUGGGCGUAAAGGGUGCGUAGGUGGUGGGGUAAGUCUGACGUGAAAUCUCCAAGCUCAACUUGGAAAUGGCGUCGGAUACUAUUCGGCUCGAGGAAUGGAGGGGAGACUGGAAUUCUCGGUGUAGCAGUGAAAUGCGUAGAUAUCGAGAGGAACACCAGUGGCGAAGGCGAGUCUCUGGACAUUUCCUGACGCUGAGGCACGAAAGCCAGGGGAGCAAACGGG